rnacentral:rRNA from 1 species
CAGUAGCCGCGGUAAUACGUAGGGUGCGAGCGUUAAUCGGAAUUACUGGGCGUAAAGCGUGCGCAGGCGGUUGUGUAAGACAGGUGUGAAAUCCCCGGGCUUAACCUGGGAACCGCGCUUGUGACUGCACAGCUAGAGUAUGGCAGAGGGGGGUGGAAUUCCACGUGUAGCAGUGAAAUGCGUAGAGAUGUGGAGGAACACCGAUGGCGAAGGCAGCCCCCUGGGUCAAUACUGACGCUCAUGCACGAAAGCGUGGGGAGCAAACAGGAUUAGAUACCCCCGUAGUCCCUGUCUCUUAUAC